rnacentral:misc_RNA from 1 species
GGAUUUUUUCUACCAUGUGCAUUGUGGGCAAGUCAGAGCCACUUCCCCAAUAGCCCUCCCAAUCAAUAGGGAACUUCUCAUUAUAGCAAUUUCCUUCAUUUCCAGGCUUCCACUCCCGGCUCCAGAGAUGUGUUGGAGACAUGGUAACGAAGAAGACCCGUUUCUCAAGGGAAUUGGCCUUAGAAGCUACCCAGUCUGCCCAUGACUCCAUUGCCAAUUCCAUAGCUCCUAAUCCAUCUAAUUCCUCGCAAACCCCAUUUUCUUCAUUGCUCCAUAACAACUUAACAGGGCCUUGUC